CUCGCUCUUCCUCUAGAGCCGUCUCCCCGGCUCCCACCAAGAGGGCCACCUCCUCCUCUUCCUCCUCAGGGAAGAGAGGCCCAUCUCAGUUGUAGGAAGAGAUCCUUCCGCAUCAUCGAAGCUGAGCAGGUACUCAUCUUCUGCUGGUGAUGGGAUGUCUUUACCGAAAUCUACUGAAAACUCCUGCAAUAUCUGCAGAUCGCCCAGAUGGUGCAGUAAGCCAAC